AAAGCUCAGUAACACGUGGCUAACCUAUCCUCGGGAGGGGGAUAACACCGGGAAACUGGUGCUAAUCCCCCAUAGGGGAGGAGGCCUGGAAGGGUUCCUCUCCGAAAGGGCGUAGCGGGGGUUAUCGCCGCUACGCCGCCCGAGGGUGGGGCUACGGCCCAUUAGGUUGUUGGCGGGGUAACGGCCCGCCAAGCCGAUAAUGGGUAGGGGCCGUGAGAGCGGGAGCCCCCAGAUGGGCACUGAGACAAGGGCCCAGGCCCUACGGGGCGCACCAGGCGCGAAACCUCCGCAAUGCGGGAAACCGUGACGGGGUCACCCCGAGUGCCCCCGAUAAGGGGGCUUUUCCCCGCUGUAGGAAGGCGGGGGAAUAAGCGGGGGGCAAGUCUGGUGUCAGCCGCCGCGGUAAUACCAGCCCCGCGAGUGGUCGGGACGAUUAUUGGGCCUAAAGCGCCCGUAGCCGGCCCGGCAAGUCCCCUCCUAAAACCUCGGGCUCAACCCGAGGGGUGGGGGGGAUACUGCCGGGCUAGGGGGCGGGAGAGGCCGAGGGUACUCCCGGGGUAGGGGCGAAAUCCUAUAAUCCCGGGAGGACCACCAGUGGCGAAGGCGCUCGGCUGGAACGCGCCCGACGGUGAGGGGCGAAAGCCGGGGGAGCGAACCGGAUUAGAUACCCGGGUAGUCCCGGCUGUAAACUAUGCGGGCUAGGUGUUGGGUGGGCUUAGAGCCCACCCAGUGCCGCAGGGAAGCCGUUAAGCCCGCCGCCUGGGGAGUACGGCCGCAAGGCUGAAACUCAAAGGAAUUGGCGGGGGAGCAC
rnacentral:rRNA from 1 species